rnacentral:misc_RNA from 1 species
GCAAACUUGGUCAUUUAGAGGAAGUAAAAGUCGUAACAAGGUUUCCGUAGGUGAACCUGCGGAAGGAUCAUUACAGUGCCUGUAGGGUACCGGGAACCCCCGGUGGCCCUACACUCUGGCCACCCGUGUCUACCUUAACUCUUUGUUGCUUUGGCGGGCCCGUCCCACGGGGCCUCCGGGGGUGUAUACCUACUCGUGUAGGGAUGUCUCCCUGGACCGUGCCCGCCAGAGGACCCUUAGAACCCUUGUCAAAUAGUGAUGUUUGAGCUGAUGUGAAUGAUAUUAAAACUUUCAACAACGGAUCUCUUGGUUCCAGCAUCGAUGAAGAACGCAGC